ACUACCUUGUAGGGAUGUUUGAGUUGUCUCUGUAUAGGAAUUGUCAGACUUUGAGAACAGAGCAGUGGGCUUGGAGAUUUAGGAGUGGGAGAAAAAAAGGGAGAUAGAAAAUGUUUGCGAAUCAGGUACCUGCAUUCAGAAAGAAUCUGUGCCCUAGGUGCCAGUCUCUACCAAAGACUCAGCCUCAACUGUCUCCUGUGUCUUCAUUUAUUGGUCUCCGUUUUUGUGAAUCCUUGUCUGCCUGUAGAUCUGCUGUAGGGCUUGUCACCAUUGGAAGCAAGGUCCUACUUCAGUGGCAGAUCUGGUGGCCUUGGAGUGGCUGA
ensembl:lncRNA